rnacentral:rRNA from 1 species
CCUACGGGAGGCAGCAGUGAGGAAUAUUGGUCAAUGGACGAGAGUCUGAACCAGCCAAGUAGCGUGAAGGAUGACUGCCCUAUGGGUUGUAAACUUCUUUUAUAUGGGAAUAAAAUGUUCCACGUGUGGGAUUUUGUAUGUACCAUAUGAAUAAGGAUCGGCUAACUCCGUGCCAGCAGCCGCGGUAAUACGGAGGAUCCGAGCGUUAUCCGGAGUUAUUGGGUUUAAAGGGAGCGUAGGUGGAUUGUUAAGUCAGUUGUGAAAGUUUGCGGCUCAACCGUAAAAUUGCAGUUGAAACUGGCAGUCUUGAGUACAGUAGAGGUGGGCGGAAUUCGUGGUGUAGCGGUGAAAUGCUUAGAUAUCACGAAGAACUCCGAUUGCGAAGGCAGUUCACUGGACUGUAACUGACACUGAGGCUCGAAAGUGUGGGUAUCAAACAGGAUUAGAUACCCUAGUAGUC